UCCGAGAAUUAUAUUGCUACGAUCUCUUGUACUUAGGAGUGAGCAAGCAAUUUUGGCGCCGUUGCCAAGGAGCCGCUACGUGUUCAGAGGCAAUUUUUUUUUGGAGCAAAGCUUAGCUGGUGGAAAUUCUUCUAUUGGUUUUGGAAGAACAACAAAUGAUGGCAAUUAAUGAAGGAUGGAAGCCUUGCUUUGAGGAGCUACUAAAGAAUGAAAAAAAGCUUGUGCAUUCAAGUGAAUAGGCAUUACAGCUGGAGCUUAAGCCACUACCUGGUGGUCUUAAAUAUGCAUAUUUGGGCCCAGAGGGAUCAGAAAGAUGAAGGAUUCGCUGCCUUCGCAAGUUCUGAAUGAGAAGCUACCAUGGUUUUUGCAAAAGUGUGCGCAGACCUUCGAUUCCGAUCGCCGUUACAAAAACGACUUACGGUACCUCCGCGUUUAGUUACGGUUGGUAUUUUACUAAUCCAUCGCUUUUUUUUUUUUUCGUUUCCUUCUUGAUGAUUUCGAUUCUGGGUCGUUAGGUUUCUUAGAAGUUGUUUGGUUCCUGUGGAAAUGAAGGGGAAAGAUGUGAAAAUCAAAUUUGGAUGCGCUUUAGAUUUUUUUUGGUUAUCCAAAUGUUGAGAAUUUAUUCAUUUAUUUUAGUGUGUAGAUGGGUUUUUGUGGAUGGUCUGAGAGC